CCCUCUUUUGUUGUGGUUUCUUCCUUUUCUUCCUAGUUUGUGUGUGUGUGUGUGUGUGUGUGUUGUUGUAUCCCCGUCACCUCUCUUUCUCCCCGUGCACGUCCAGCGUUUUCUUGUGAUCCUACCCCCUCCCUGGUGCUGUGAAAGGGGUGGCAGUCGUUUCUGUUGUGGUCUCAUCGCCUCCCCUCCCCCAUUGGCGCAUUCUUGAGUGAGCUAUCACUGUUGGGGUGGUUUUUGUUUCGUGGUGCGUUGCUUCUCUGUAAAUAUCGAAGUAGAACCGUUGCUCAGCUUUUGCAACCUCUACACGAACACAAGUCGACGCGUUGCUUUCCGUUUAGAUGUUCCUCUUUUUUCUUUUGCUUCUUCUCCCUUCCUCCUCCCUUGCACCCCACCUUCGCCACCUCACUUCUCUCCCUUUCACUCAAGAAUCGUCACGCUUGCGUGUGCGCGUCGGUGUGUGUGUGUGUAGGUGUGUGGGCGAUCUUCCUCGUGCUUUCUUCUCGUUUUUCUUCCCCUGGGUAGACACUCAUUUCGUGUCUGAUCGGCUUUUGCCUUUAGGGGCAUCUUUUUGUUUUUUGUUCUCCUCCUGCUCCUGCUGCUGCCUCUCUAACCUUGGGACAUACACACCGAUACCCUGCACCUUUGCAGAAGCAGCUCGACUCCCUCUCUUCCCUCUUUGCGAGUUGGGUGAGCGUGCUUGUGUGUGUGCGCGCGCUUCGCGUUUGUGUCGUGCCAAGGUGCUUCCAUUACGCCCCAGUGGCAUCGUUUUCAGUAAAAGAUUGAAAGCCCAUCACGUUCUUGUUUGAUUUUUAAGCGCGGCAUUUUCAAAAAGGACCGCGCUCUCUCUCUCACUACUGCGUUACCCAGGCUUGCCCACCGCCUUUGUCUCAUCACCUCUCGAAACGACAGUGCAUUCUCUUGCGAGGGAAGUAGCACUUAUUCCUUCCCUCCCCCUCCCCUUUCAAAUCUCUUCACCUCAUUGCAGUACUUACGCACAGACGCGUGCAACAAUGACGAACGAGCAGACGACCACGUUCCUUGUGUACGUCACCUUGGCAGUGUUCAACUUUGCUUCCAGUAUCAUUCAGGGUGUCGCAGGUAUCGGCGAUGCCAUCCUGAUUCAGGUCCUGUGGCUUCUCGCUUGCAAUCUGUCCGAUGAUUUCAAUAGAACCCCGCUUGGCGACUCACCGGUGCGCGCCGUGGCGCUCAUCAUGUACAUUAGACUGCUCUUUAUGUCGCCGCUGGUCGUCUAUCUCGGCAUCGACGACAGCGUUUUCUCCAAGCAAAUGACGAUCAUGAUGGCCGUGCCGAGCACCAUCCUCACAGUCGUCGGCGUCAUCCUGUACACGAGGCUUGAUGCCGACACCCUGAAGAAGAUUCUCGGCUUUACUUGCUUCCUAUUUGCCCUCGUGUACAUUGGCAUCAUGAUCUACCGCGUCUGGCGGAAGAAGAGGCAGGUCGAGGAAUUGAAGUCGCGAAACGUCAAGUUGGUGGUGGAGGCCGACGCCCUGGAAGAGGAGGCACAGCUGAGCCUCAAGACCAGUAUGGUUAAUCUGCACGCCAGCUUUGUGCACAACGUGCCAAACAACAGUAUUUUUGCCAUGCGCCCCCCUCCCCCUGGCGGUCAUGGCAGUCUUGAUGUUAGAACUCUGUACAUGGCCCCGCCGCCGGAUUCGAGCAUGCUGCAUGGCUCGGCCGUGGCUAUGCGAGGUAGCACGAUUAUCGCCCAGGGCGUCACAGCCGGCGAGAUUGAUGCGCGGACUGGCCUGCCAGCGGAUACGACCGAGGCUUUCCUCAGCACCAUCGGCGGCGAGGUGUUCGUGGGGCCCGAGACGCGGGCGCCGCGCGUGAACGAGGAGAACGUGCCGGAACUGACGCCGUCAAAGAUCUCGCCAUCGCGUACCAUGACCUUCACCCGUGUCCGUAUUAACCGCAACAUCGACGCAAACGGAAAGAUCAAGAUGAGCACGAAAAUCAGCGCGGCUGUGGCUGCGUCUCUUGCGGGUAUCAUGGCUUCCCUCACCGGCGUGAAUGCCCCGCCGCAGAUUAUCUUCAUUCUCCUCUUCGAUGCCCCGAACUACAUUGUGCGCGUCAACUUCAGUGCCCAGUCGAUUCCCAGUAACGUCGUCCGGUUUAUCAUGGCCGUCUGGAACGGCUCCUUCACCUGGGCCAUGAUUCCGCUGAUGAUCGACGUGGUCAUCUUUGGCUUCGCCGGCGUGUUUGUGGGCAAUCGCAUCGGUCGCCUCCUUGGUCCGCAGAGUUUCAACGUGUUCGUUCUGUGCCUGCUGCUGCUCUGCUCGCUUGCCAUGGUGGGCAAGUGGCAAAACUUCCUCAUCAUCUGCACAAUCCUGACCGGCAUCAUCACAGUCGCGUGCGGCUACCUUGAGAACAAGCGCAGCAAGCCCAUCAUUGAAAAGCAGCGGCUGUCGGAGCUCGAGGUGGAGAAGCGCUUGUACGAUUGUCUGGAGGAACUGCAGCGCAGCAACAACAGCUUCAUUCAGUCGAGGCGGUCGGUGUCGACGUUCACUACACUGGUACCCUUCCAGCGCACGAAUCGUCCAAAGCCGAUGUGGGAAGGUGCAAACUUCGACAACGACGAUGAGGGUGCCGGGGAUGAGCGGGAGCGGGAUGCCACAGCAUCGUCAGCGGCCGGCGCGACCCAUGGCGAGUUGGGUUCGGUCAAGGGAGAAAAGAGCAGCUCUUUCGGUCAUCCGUUGAGGCGUCACAGCAACCCUGCGCCACCGCCUACAGCAGCAGUCGCGAAUGGGGCUGAAGAGGUGUCCCCGGCAGCUGCAGCUGCCACCCAUCCGGGCAGCGCUGCAGGCAUGCGCCUCAUUACGACGGUCAGGCGCCGCCCUGGCUACCACACACCCAGUAGCAACAACAGCGACAAGGACGACCACAAUCUCCCUAGCUCGAGCAGUACUAUGCUGCAUAAUGACCAGUCCGCUCCGAGCGAGGUCAAUCACUGCCUCCCGGAGCUUCAAUCGCCCUCGCUGCGCAGCAUGAAUAGCAACGUGUAGAGCGAAUCAAAAGAUGAGGAUGUUACCCCAAAGCGGUGAGGCGAAGCUCGCUGUUGCGUUCUGCCACUUUUUUUUUUGACUCCUGCCGCUUUCUCCCUGAUCCCCCCUCCCUCCGAUACAUCAGCACACACACACACUUGUUCUCUGUCACAACAACAGACACACACAUACACAUGCGUCUUUGCGUCCGCCCUAUGGAGGGGGAUGGUGACGGCCUACGUGUGCGGGUGUGCUCCUUCGUCUCUCUCUCACUCACUGCGUGAUGAAGGAGGGCUCAGACUACGCAGGAGAGGAGGUGGUGGUUCAAUUUUCUCUGUUGUUAUUGCUCGCUGUCUUGUACUGAUAAAAAAAGACAACGUUUUAUGAGAGUUUGGUAGAAACGAACACUUGGAGAUAGCGCAGCUGACCAUGGGUGCUUCCAAGGAGGCAGGCACAAGAGGGGUGGCGGGUAAUGUAGGAAACGUAUAUAUAUAUAUAUAUAUAUACAUGCCCGCCCUACGAGUUGCAAGCCCUCCUCGGUCUCCCCUCCUCCUCCCCAAUUCAAAUGUCCUCACCCUCCCCCCUCCACACGCACACACACUAGUUGAUGCUGACCUCGACUCUUCUAUACUGUGAAGAAACAAAGAAUGCUGGAGAAGAUGGUGCUGCGGCGUCCCUCGCCCACUCGCUCGUUAUCAUGCAGUAUAGCAGCACCCUUUACGUUCGCCUUAUCCUCUCCCCUCCCUCCCUUCCCUCUUCAUCCCUUUGCUAUCCUACACACGCAUACAUGUGCACGGCGCACAUCUGCUCUUUCCCUUCGCAUGGUGUGUUUUCUUCCUUCUUUCUUCAUCUCGCGUACUCAACAG
rnacentral:misc_RNA from 1 species